UACGUAGGGGGCGAGCGUCGUCCGAAGCUACUGGGCGUAAAGCGCGCGUAGGUGGGGAAGCAAGUCUGCUGUGAAAGCCCGGAGCUCAACUCCGGAGGGUCGGCGGAUACUGUUUUUCUUGAGGGAGGCAGGGAGAAGUGGAAUGGCUGGUGUAGCGGUGAAAUGCGUAGAUAUCAGUCGGAACACCGGUGGCGAAGGCGGCUUCUUGGGCCUUUCCUGACGCUGAGGCGCGAAAGCUGGGGGAGCGAACGGG
rnacentral:rRNA from 1 species